rnacentral:rRNA from 1 species
CUAGAGAUAGAGCUUUCCCCUUCGGGGGACAAAGUGACAGGUGGUGCAUGGUUGUCGUCAGCUCGUGUCGUGAGAUGUUGGGUUAAGUCCCGCAACGAGUGCAACCCUUAAGCUUAGUUGCCACCAUUAAGUUGGGCACUCUAGGUUGACUGCCGGUGACAAACCGGAGGAAGGUGGGGAUGACGUCAAAUCAUCAUGCCCCUUAUGAUUUGGGCUACACACGUGCUACAAUGGACAAUACAAAGGGCAGCUAAACCGCGAGGUCAUGCAAAUCCCAUAAAGUUGUUCUCAGUUCGGAUUGUAGUCUGCAACUCGACUACAUGAAGCUGGAAUCGCUAGUAAUCGUAGAUCAGUAUGCUACGGUGAAUACGUUCCCGGGUCUUGUACACACCGCCCGUCACACCACGAGAGUUUGUAACACCCGAAGCCGGUGGAGUAACCAUUUAUGGAGCUAGCCGUCGAAGGUGGGACAAAUGAUUGGGGUGAAGUCGUAACAAGGUAGCCGUAUCGGA